AGUCUCCGCUACCCCCGCCCCUCAUAGUGGCGUUCUCGCCAUCUUGCACCCCCUCCAGCCUAGCCCAGUCACCUUUUCCCUUUCCACAAUUUCUGUCCCCCCUAUUCCCCACCCCCUGCCCAUCGUGUCCCGGGGCCGCCGCUGCCGCAGACACCGCGCCAUCUCUGUCCCCUCUCAUUCUCCACGCGGGACGCGCAGACGUGCUUCCACGUGUCCUUAAGCAGAGAUGAAUAAUACUGCAGCUAGCCCGAUGUCUACUGCCACUUCGAGUAGUGGAAGAAACACAGGGAAGGCUGUAAGCUUUGCUGCAGAACUGCAGAGCAUGAUGUUUUCUUUAGGGGAUGCUAGGAGGCCUCUCCAUGAAACAGCAGUUUUAGUAGAAGAUGUGGUUCACACACAACUAGUUAACUUGUUACAGCAAGCUGCAGAAGUCUCUCAACUGAGGGGAGCAAGGGUGAUCUCUGCUGAAGAUCUUCUGUUCUUGAUGAGAAAAGAUAAGAAAAAACUUAGAAGACUGCUAAAAUACAUGUUUAUCCGAGACUACAAAUCAAAGAUCAUCAAAGGCAUUGACGAGGACGACCUCCUGGAAGAAAAACUGAGUGGCAGCAGCAGUACAAACAAGAGACAGAAAAUCGCUCAGGACUUGAUCAACUCUAUUGACCAGACAGGAGAGCUUCUGGCCAUGUUUGAGGACAAUGAACUUGAUGAUGUUAAACAGGAGAGAAUGGAGAGAGCAGAAAGACAGACUCGAACAAUGGAUUCAGCUCAAUAUGCAGAAUUCUGUGAAAGCCGGCAGCUAAGUUUCUCCAAAAAAGCUUCCAAAUUUCGAGAUUGGCUGGACUGUGGCAGCAUGGAGAUAAAGCCCAAUGUCAUAGCUAUGGAAAUUCUGGCAUACUUAGCAUAUGAAACAGUGGCACAGGUAGUGGAUCUGGCUCUUCUCGUGAGGCAGGAUAUGGUAUCCAAGGCAGGGGACCCCUUCAGCCAUGCCAUUUCUGCAGCCUUCAUUCAGUAUCAUAACUCGGCUGAGGGGUCCUGUUUGAAGUCCUGUCCAGACUCUCCUGAGAACACACCGCCUGCUACACCAACAGCUCCCUCUUCUGGAUCUCAGUAUUCUGGGAGAGCCGCAUCUGGAUCCCUGGGGAAUGGCAGUACAGGACAAGACUCUAGUAAAAGCAAGCAGAGAAAGAGGAAAAAGAGCACCGCGGCCUGUGGUGUUGAGGCUCACAGCGAUGCCAUCCAGCCCUGCCACAUCAGAGAAGCCAUUCGACGCUACGGCCACAAGAUUGGCCCUCUUUCCCCAUUCACAGUCCCCAUCCAGGUGCCUGUCACUGUCCAUCUGACAUAGACAGAAUACAAGACUGUGCUGUUCAUUCCAGUUGUGGUCAAAGAAGACUUCUUAUUUAAAGGGCAUGCUCCCCUGCUGCUCUCAGAUCAAGGCUAUGCCAUCUGACUGGGUCCCACCAUGACUUUCACAGAGUGCCUACCGAAGGAGUGGGAUGGCUUUCCUGGCCUGCUGAGGGGACCAUGGCUGUGCCUGCUGCAAAAAGAGAGGGAAUGGGACACCAAGGUUAUUCUUCCCUGUGCUGGAUGAGAAUAAAAUGUGGGUUUACUGUC